CAUCAUAAUAACCACCGUCAUUAUUAUCACUCAGCAUAAGGACAACCACCAUUAUCAUAAACAACAGCUAUUUUUAUUGGGAAUUUUGGAAAAGUAUCAGGUAGCGGUGGUCCGGAGGCACCAAGGCAGGGAACAACCCAGGAUGGAGCAGUAACCGGCAAUAUCAGGUCUGACGCCAUGUUAUAUCUUCUACGCUGGGGGGCACUUGCGGACUCGGGAGACGAAGCAACGUGUGAUCGCAGUAAACAUCAGCUCGAUUUAAUUCAUCUGUUUUUUUAUAUAGCGCCUUUGGCAACAAAGUUGUCCCAAAGCGCUUUACAGGGCUGUGUUGUGAUAAAUUACAGAGUGAUGCACACUCGGCGUGCUUAAUUAUGGACCAAACCCCCUAAUUCUCCACCACCGUAAUAACACGGAUACUCGUUCCCAUUCCGUAUCACAGAUCAGGGGCGCCGUAAGGAAAGGGAAAGGUAGGAGGAUUCCAAAGGGCCCGGAGUGACAGGGGUCCUAAAAAAUUUGCAAAAUAAUUGGAUGGUCUGGACUGGGGGGCCCAAUAUGAUAUGCUCUAAUGGGGCCCAAAAUCUUUAGCAACGUCACAGGUAAUACAACCGAAACAAAACCUGAUCAGUCAUCCACACCACAACUGCUAAUUGAAAUUAAUUUAUUAAUAAAAUACUAUAUAAUUGUAACCAUAGUUGCUGUGCACAUUAUAUAUUUUUUGGAUUAUUUUAAUUAAGUGUAUGUCACUUAUUUAUGUUGUAUAUGAUUAUUAUGCUUUGCAGUAAUUUUAUCAAUGUUAAUAUAUAUUUAUUUACAUUACAAUGUUGUGUUGAAUGAUCAGAUUUAAUUAUUAUUUCAUCUUAUUUAUUAUCAGUUACAGUACUGUAUUAUUUCAGUUAUAUUUACAUGUGUUGCAUUAACGUUCAGUAUGUUCCCUUAGUUAAUUGUAUGAUUAGUUCCUAUUUGCCCUGGUACACAGGGGGACAGUUUAGAAUGAAGCGCGGGAAGGGAGGUUGGAGCGCGGCUGGAAAAGUUGUAAGUACUGUGUUGCCGAGUGGUGAUUAUUAAAGAACGAUUACAAAAGGAACUGUAGCCCGCUUAUUACCCACAGCCCGAGAGAGACUGGCACGCACUACCCAUUUAUCGAGAAAUCAGGGUUACAUAAUCAAUAUUUAUUAACCAUUAUAAUUGCAGAUUAAUACUUUGUUACUAUAGAACAUCUACAGACACACCCAUUUGAAUAAACGUCUACCUUUUUAGAAGGUAUUCUUCAGUAUGAACAAACUAAAUAAACAACAAAUUAAAUUAAA